rnacentral:rRNA from 1 species
UUGAGCUUGAUCCUGGCUCAGGACGAACGCUGGCGGCGUGCCUAAUACAUGCAAGUCGAGCGGACUAAUGGGAGCUUGCUCCCUGAGGUCAGCGGCGGACGGGUGAGUAACACGUGGGCAACCUGCCUGUAAGACUGGGAUAACUCCGGGAAACCGGGGCUAAUACCGGAUAAUCCGUUCCACCUCAUGGUGGAGCGGUAAAAGAUGGCCUCUGGCUAUCACUUACAGAUGGGCCCGCGGCGCAUUAGCUAGUUGGUAAGGUAACGGCUUACCAAGGCGACGAUGCGUAGCCGACCUGAGAGGGUGAUCGGCCACACUGGGACUGAGACACGGCCCAGACUCCUACGGGAGGCAGCAGUAGGGAAUCUUCCGCAAUGGACGAAAGUCUGACGGAGCAACGCCGCGUGAGUGAUGAAGGUUUUCGGAUCGUAAAGCUCUGUUGUUAGGGAAGAACAAGUGCCGUUUGAAUAAGGCGGCACCUGACGGUACCAACCAGAA